GUUUAUCCUUUCAAUCACGGCUUUGGAGCCCAAGGAAGAGGCUUUCUGCCCUAAUAUGUGACGCUGAGGCCUAAAAAGAAUGCUUUGGGCCCUAAAAAUGAGAGCCUGGGUCCAAAACCAGAGGGUGUAGGCGAUGAAAAGACAGUUGCAUCUCCGCUGGCUGCACUGCACUGUGGAGGGCGCCUUGUCAAAACCGAGGUGUCCCGUGUGGCCUGGUCACAGACAGGCGGUGCAGCAGGCUGUUGCUGUGACAGGGCAGCGUGGCCCACCUUCCUCUGGAUCCAAAAGUGAUGAUUUGUUGCCUCCAAAUUGGGGUUUGGACCUGCAAAGAAGGCUUUGGACCCUGAAAUUCAGGCCUCGGCUCCUAGCAUGAGGAUUUGGGAAUUUGAAAAGAAGGGGUGUUCCUCUCAAAUAAGGCCUCGCCAUCUAAAAGGCUGCUGCUUUGCACCUUGCAAUGAAAGUGUGGACCCUAAAAAUAGGGCAUUGUGCCCUAAAAAUGGAUGCCUGGUCCAUAUGAGUGUGGCUGUAAGCAAGAAAAAGCUAG